rnacentral:rRNA from 1 species
UACGUAGGGUGCAAGCGUUGUCCGGAAUUAUUGGGCGUAAAGAGCUCGUAGGCGGUCUGUCGCGUCGGCUGUGAAAACCCGGGGCUCAACCCCGGGCCUGCAGUCGAUACGGGCAGACUAGAGUGUGGUAGGGGAGACUGGAAUUCCUGGUGUAGCGGUGAAAUGCGUAGAUAUCAGGAGGAACACCGAUGGCGAAGGCAGGUCUCUGGGCUGAAACUGACGCUCAUGCACGAAAGCGUGGGGAGCAAACAGG